rnacentral:lncRNA from 1 species
GACUCCGCCCCUCCCCCCUCCUCCUCCACCACGCCCACCAAGCCCCUCCCCCCGAGCUCCGCCCUCUUCCCCCAUUGGCCGCCCCCUCCCCCCAAACCCUCGGUGGGCGUGGCCGUGGGCGGAGACCUGGACGUGCGCCCGCCCCUCCGGCGCGCGCCCAGCCCCGCCCCUCCGCCCUCGGAGCGCCGCGGAAGCCCCGCCCCCCGCCCCGCCUCCCUGCCCACCUUACCUGCGGCUCACCUGUACGGCGGAGGAGGAGGAGGAGUAGGAGGAAGCUCCGCCUCUUCUUACCUGGAGCUGCGCUCGCUGUCCCCGCCCCGCGCCGCCACCGCCGCGUCAAUCACGGGCGGCCCCGCCCCCGCCAAGCCUUUUGGGGCGAAACCUUUGGCUUUUUGGAGCAAGUUCGACGUGGCGGACUGGCUGGAGUCGCUGAACCUGGGCGAGCACCGGGCGCGCUUCCUGCACAACGAGAUCGACGGCACGCACCUGCCCGCGCUCACCAAGGAGGAUUACAUCGACCUGGGCGUCACCCGCGUCGGGCACCGCAUGAACAUCGACCGCGCCCUGCGCCUCUUCCUCGAGAGGGAUCCGAGUGUGCCACGGGAUCUGGACUUGAGACUGUGAAAGGAUCUGAGUGUGCAACGGGAUCCGAGUGUGCAACGGGAUCUGGACAUGGGAAUGUGAUGGGAUCCAAGUGUGCAACGGGAUCCGAGUGUGCAACGGGAUCUGGACAAGGGAAUGUAACAGGAUCUGAGUGUGCAAUGGGAUCUGAGUGUGCAAUGGUAUCCGAAUGUGUAACAAGAUCCCAGUGUGCAACGGGAUCCGAGUGUGCAACAGGAUCUGGACUUAAGACUGUGAAAGGAUCCGAGUGUGCAACGAGAUCUGGGUGUUCAAAGGGAUCUGAGUGUGCAACAGGAUCUGGACACGGGAAUGUAACAGGAUGUGAGUGUGCAAUGGGAUCUGAAUGUGUAACAAGAUCCCAGUGUGCAACGGGAUCCAAGUGUGCAAAGGGAUCCGAGUGUGCAACGGGACCUGGAUGUGGGAAUGUAACGGGAUCCAGGUGUGCAACAGGAUCCGAGUGUGCAACAGGAUCUGAACUUAAGACUGUGAAAGGAUCCGAGUGUGCAACGAGAUCUGGGUGUGCAACGGGAUCCCACUGUGCAACAGGAUCUGUGUGCAAAAGGACCCGGAUAUGGGAGUGUGAGAGGAUCUGAGUGUGCAACAGGAUCCAAGUGUGCAACAGGACCCGAGUGCACCCUGGCACCCGAUUGUGCAAGGGAACCUGGGCGUGCAAGGGGAUUUGGGGGCGCGCGGGUGUGCGGCGGGUGUGCGCUGAGUGUGCAACGGGACGUGGACAGCGGGCGCCGGGACGUGGACGUGGGCAUCCGGUGGGACGUGAGCGUGCAACGGGAGCUGAGUGUGCAACAGGAGAUGGACCUGGGCGCCCGGCGGGAUCUGAGCGUGCAACAGCAGCAGCGCAAGCUGAGCGUGCAACAGCUGGAGGCGCAGCGGCGGCUGAGCGUGCAACAGGAGCUGGGCGUGCAACGGGAGGUGGAGAUCCAGAGGAAGCUGAGCGUGCAACAGGAGCUGGGCGUGCAACGGCAGCUGGAGCUGGGCGUGCAAUGGGAGCCGGGUGUGCAACGGGAGCUGGGUGUGCAACGGGACGUGGAGAUGGGCGUGCAACCAGAGCUGGGCGUGCAAGGAGCGCCCGGCACGCUGUGGGACGUGGAGAUGGGCGUGCAACCGGAGAUGGGCGUGCAAGGACACGUGGGCGUGCAACAGGAGCUGCCGGACGUGGACAUGAGCGUGCAAUGGGAGCCGGGCGUGCAAGGGGAGCUCCUGGGCGUGCAACAGGCGGCGGAGGCGGGCGUGCAACAGGACGUGAUUGUGCAAGAGGCGAUGAUUGUGCAAGAGGCGAUGAUUGUGCAACGAGACGCGAACGUGGCGCCGGACCCGGGCGUGCAAGAGGCGCCGAGUGUGCAACGGGAGGAGCCCCUGGGCGUGCAAGGGGACGUGG